rnacentral:rRNA from 1 species
GAUCAUGGCUCAGGAUGAACGCUAGCGACAGGCCUAACACAUGCAAGUCGAGGGGCAGCGGGGAGGUAGCAAUACCUUUGCCAGCGACCGGCGCACGGGUGAGUAACACGUAUGCAAUCCACCUGUAACAGGGGGAUAACCCGGAGAAAUCCGGACUAAUACCCCAUAAUAUGGGCUCUCCGCAUGGAGGGUUCAUUAAAGAGAGCAAUUUUGGUUACAGACGAGCAUGCGCUCCAUUACG